rnacentral:rRNA from 1 species
UACGUAGGGGGCUAGCGUUGUUCGGAAUCACUGGGCGUAAAGCGCACGUAGGCGGAUGUGCCAGUCAGGGGUGAAAUCCCGGAGCUCAACUCCGGAACUGCCUCUGAUACAGCACGUCUUGAGUUCGAGAGAGGUGGGUGGAAUUCCUAGUGUAGAGGUGAAAUUCGUAGAUAUUAGGAAGAACACCGGUGGCGAAGGCGGCUUACUGGUCCGGUACUGACGCUGAGGUGCGAAAGCGUGGGGAGCAAACAGG